AAUCAACGCUGGCGGCGUGCCUAACACAUGCAAGUCGCACGAGAAAGGGACUUCGGUCCUGAGUACAGUGGCGCGACGGGUGAGUAACACGUGAAUCAUCUACCUUCGAGUGGGAAUAACUGAGAGAAAUCUUAGCUAAUACCGCAUAAUACCGUACGGGUACAAAGCAGCAAUGCGCUUGAAGAGGAGUUCGCGGCAGAUUAGUUUGUUGGCGGGGUAAUGGCCCCACCAAGACGAUGAUCUGUAUCCGGCCUGAGAGGGCGCACGGACACACUGGAACUGAAAC
rnacentral:rRNA from 1 species